rnacentral:rRNA from 1 species
UGGGGAAUUUUGCGCAAUGGGCGAAAGCCUGACGCAGCAACGCCGCGUGGAGGAUGAAGGUGCUCUGCAUCGUAAACUCCUGUCGGUCGGGAAGAAUGAACGGGGUGCUAAUCAACCCCGUUUUGACUGUACCGGCAAAGGAAGCCCCGGCUAACUCCGUGCCAGCAGCCGCGGUAAUACGGAGGGGGCAAGCGUUACUCGGAAUUAUUGGGCGUAAAGGGCGCGUAGGCGGUCGUGCGCGUCAGAGGUGAAAUCCCCAGGCUUAACCUGGGACCUGCCUCUGAUACGGCACAGCUUGAGUCCGGGAGAGGGGAGCGGAAUUCCCAGUGUAGCGGUGAAAUGCGUAGAUAUUGGGAGGAACACCGGUGGCGAAGGCGGCUCCCUGGACCGGUACUGACGCUGAGGCGCGAAAGCGUGGGUAGCAAACAGGAUUAGAUACCCGCGUAGUCC